rfam:Heligmosomoides polygyrus genome assembly, scaffold: HPBE_scaffold0008429
GCGCCGGUGGUGUAAUGGCGUAGAGCAUUCCCGCCCGGUCAGAGGGAGGUGCGGGUUCGAGUCCCGCCUGGCGCA